AAGUAAAGUCCCCAGUCACAAGACCGCGGUGUACAGUGGUAAACGAAACCCUAUUCAACGGACCUGUGCUCAGUGACCCGAUUCACUGCACCCCUGACGACACACAAUCAGCUCCGUCACCGUCACAGCAGUCAACUGAAGUCCACACUGACUGUCGAGUGACCAGAGUUAACCAUGUUCGACGACGACCUCGAUGACGACGACCCCGAUGACCUUGCCCCCUUUGUAGGUCGAAACGACGAAAGGGAAGCAAUCAAGAUGAUGCUGGGGCAUUCUGUGAGAGCUGUUCAACUAGUUGGAUCACCCAUGGUUGGCAAGAGCUGUUUGGCGGAAAAGAUCUCCCGCGAGCUCCAGCAAGAGAUGGCGGCAAAAGACCGGAAGCUGAUGUGCUACCAUAUGUCCUGCAUGGACGUGCUGACGGCUGAUGACUUCCUAGCUCGUCUCAGUGCUGGCUUAGAACUACCGUCAACUGCAACAUCAUACUCGUCGUUGGUCAACAGCUUCAAGAAGAUUGCGAAAGAUGAUCCAAAGUGUUCACACUUCUUCGUGUUGCUGAAGUGUGAAAGCUUUCACAGAAUCGGACUUGACAUACAGUUUCUGGAUCUUGUCAAGAAGCUUAUGGAGACUUCAAACCGUGCCUUCGCCAUCAUAACAACACAGAAAGCAUUUAACUUCCCACCAGCAAGACAAGUGCCUAUCAAUCCUCUCUCUUCACAGGACACUGUGACCUUGGUGAAACGCUGCGCUCCCGACGUUGACAUUGACCCGUACAGAGAUGCCAUUGAGAAACACUGUAUGGGGCUACCUCCCUUGGCUAUGGACGCUGCGCAUCAACUGGUUAAGGCACAGGGCAUACCUCUGUCUCCUUAUGAGUUUGAGGAGGUUCUCUCAGGGGCGAACAGAUCACGGAGAAUCCAUACGUCACAUGACGUUCUAAAUUCCGCCGCUUUGCGUCAGUUCCAAGGCCUUAAUGACUUCCUGAAACAAAGGAUACUUGAUAUUUCCAUUUUCAAAGGAUCUUUCCGUGUGGACCACAUUCUGAAACUCCUUGGCCAAAACCAAGCAGAAGCCAAGGCCCAGCUCAUUGAGAUGAGAAACUCAGGAGUGGUCGAACUGGAACAUGGCGGACAGCGAAUGCAUCUUCAGACCGUUAUCAGCCAUUAUGUCCGGAAUAUCAUGGGAAACCACAUUAAAUACAGUGAUACUGUUCGCCUGCAGUUUGUGACGUUGUUUCUUGACGUUCUUAAGAAGGCAGACUCGGAGCUGUUCGUCAAGCCACAACAGACAGUGUUCGGAUACCUCCACGAUGACUGGCCCAAUCUCAGACAGGUCCUAGAACAAGCGAUCCACUGCACAGAGAACACCUACCCUGCAUUUUUGCAAGUGGCCAUGAAUGCCGAAAACCUGCUAGUUAAGUGUUUCCCAGGAGAGGCAGUCAAAUUCUACGAAGCCAUGAUGUGGUCGGCUACCAGAUUCGGCAACCCAGAGGAAUGUGCCAUGCAGAAAUGGCUGCUUGGCAUGGCGAAAACUCUCAGCAAAGGAACGGACUUAGUGGAAGCAAUGGGGUUAUUCAAGGAGGCUCUUCCGGUCUUGCGCAGUGGAAACACACCUGAGGCACUGGUGUCUGUAAUGGCGGACAUGGGCCUCAACUAUUGUCGACAGGGCAAGAACACAAAGUCGAGAAACUUCUACCUGGAGGCGCUGGAGGAGUCUGGGCGGUGUCAUGAUGGACGGAAGCUGACCAACAGAAUCAUCAACAUCAGAUGCUACCUGGCAAUACCCAUGAUCUUCCUAGAACACUAUGACGAGGCUGAGACCCUCUUGAAGGAGACCCUGGCCGAGACGGAGAAGGUCGCCCCAUGCCACCCCUCCAUCCCAGUGAUGAUCAACAGUCUCGGACUUAUCUACGAGAGAGCAGCUGGAAAAGACGACGACGAGGCGCUGCGAUACUACACUGCUUCUCUCUAUGAGCGCCGGAAGUAUGCUGACGUGGCUCCUGGCGACCUCGUUGUGGUGCUCAACAACGUUGCUAUGCAGCACUCAAAACGAGGCAACCACGACUAUGCCCUACAGCUGCUGUCGGAGGCGAGAGACAUCAGGAUGAAGUUAGACAGGAUCAACUACCACACAGCCCUCACCUGCUGGAAUAUGGGACAGGUGUAUGCCAGAAAAUGUGACAUCGAAAAUGCUUUGGUCGAAGUACGAGACGCUCUUGAGAUCUUCAAGAAGUGCACUAAAUCCCACUUUGUCAUUGUGGAGGUUCUAUUUCUGGCCGCUCAUCUGGCUGCGGCUCUAGGCUGCUAUGGGGAUGCGGAGCAGUACCUCAAGGAUGCCGUCGAUUUUGAGGACAAAUAUCGGGAACAUCUUCCGACUGGGGGCCACACACUGAUGGUUCUUCAGCAUCUCCUCAUGAUCUACUUGGGGUGGAAGAGGAAGAGCUCUCCAGUCUUGGACAGGGCUGUAGCUGAAGCCAACAGGCUGGCUGAGCUGAGCAGGAACACAGAGUCAAGAGACAAACACGUCCUCUACUUGCGCCAGACGUCCGCUCUGUACAGAGUCAGGGCAUCACUCGACCAACAGACUGUCUCCAAAGAGAUGUUGGACAACGUAUUGACUGAGAUGAGCGGAUUUUGUUUCGUAUGUGAAGAUCUGAACUCACGAAACAUGGACAUGGUCAGUGUGUUUCGUAGUAUGUCAACAAAUGUAACUGGGGCUUUAGCAAGUUUUGACACUCUACUGAGAUCAGAGGCUAUGACGACUGCUGUGGGGUUGCUUAAAAAGGCCUCAGGGAGAUCUGAGAGUCCUCCAGUUUCUCCAACUGCAUCCGACCCUCCAUCAUUUUCGUUUGAUAGACUACACAGAAAAGAGAGCAGUAUUGCCUCACCGUUCUAUUACGAACAAGGAAACUGUCAGCCGUUAAAGGAAGACGGACACAGCUGUAGAGAUCUCAAGUCGUAUAUGCAGCCAACACAACCCCCCAGUUCAGCUACUGAUAUACGCAACGCUCACACAUACCAGGCCCCAGUUGAAACCAAUCCUUGCUGCUUUACGAGACCAGAGCACGGCUCACCAUGCUCCAUCAAUCACGAGUUCCCCAUCGGGCAGAUGCACCAAGACAGUUUGGUAGGAUAUGUUCAUGAACGAGGUGAUUCCCGCCAAGAUAAAUCCUCGGGUUCAUUGGGUGUGGAUAUAACUAUUCUAAACAGAGACACCUGCUGUGAUGACAGCAUGGAAAGAAUGAACCAAGCGGCUGCAAGUAAACGUGAAAAAAUCAAAGAAGCUGACGACGCUUUUCGAGGUGCAUUACCGAAAACCAACGACCGGUGCUCAUUGGAUCCCAGUCUUAGAUAUCCCCCGAGCUUCAAAUUUCCAACAUUAGAUCAACGGAAUAUAAAAGAUUCCAACCCUGGCUCUGAGUUACCUCCCUGGACAAUCAGCCAACACAACACAGUCGACGAGACACUGAAGACGAUUCGCCCUCAAAGCCACUUCCAUGACAGAUAUAAAGAGGCAAUCACCCUUCUACAAAACUCAGUUAUUGCAGAGAAGGAGAAUGUCCCUCGAGAAGCUACACCAAUGGUCACACCGGGCAACGUCUUCAACAUGGGUGCUGGAAACUUGUAUGGUGGGACUGCAUGUCAAAGGGUACAGAAACGUACCGCAUCUUCCCCAUGCUCCAGCUCUUCGGGUGUUUGCAGCAGGAGUGCCUCAGAACAUGACGAGAGAAGGCACGAGAACACGGCCCAUUGUACACAGCCGGGCUGUUUGUGUUCCCUGAAACACUUUAAGUAGAGAUCAGCAUGAGGCAUUUAUUAAACGUUCUGAAUCAGACAAAUGUGAAUGACGAUUCCUUGGAAGUGUUAUUUCAGUAUCUGAUAUAUUGAACCAUAAUUUGCACGAAGGCCUGAUCUGUUACGUAUGCUGGAAGUAUAACUUGAAUUGUUGAUAUCUUGGACUAUAUACUUCACACAAAGGUGUGUGCUGGGAGUGAAACUUCAAUUACUGAUAUCUUGGACUACGUACUUCAUACAAAGGUGUGUGCCGGAAGUGAAACUUCAAUUGCUGAUAUCUUGGACUAUAUACUUCACACAAAGGUGUGUGCCGGAAGUGAAACUUCAAUUGCUGAUAUUUUGGAUUAUAUACUUCACACAAAGGUGUGUGCUCGGAGUGAAACUUCAAUUACUGAUAUCUUGGACUACGUACUUCAUAAAAGGUGUGUGCCGGAAGUGAAACUUCAAUUGCUGAUAUCUUGGACAAUAUACUUCACACAAAGGUGUGUGCCGGAAGUGAAACUUCAAUUGCUGAUAUUUUGGAUUAUAUACUUCACACAAAGGUGUGUGCUUGGAGUGAAACUUCAAUUACUGAUAUCUUGGAC